rnacentral:rRNA from 1 species
CGAACAACUGCCCUAUCAGCCAGUGAUGGCCGUGUAGUGGACUGCCAUGGCGUUGACGGGAGCGGGGGAUUAGGGUUCGAUUCCGGAGAGGGAUCCUGAGAAAUAGCUACCACUUCUACGGAGGGCAGCAGGCGCGCAAAUUGCCCAAUGUCAAAAAAAAACGAUGAGGCAGCGAAAAGAAAUAGAGCCGACGGUGCCUAGUGCAUUGUCGUAUUCAAUGGGGGAUAUUUAAACCCAUCCAAAAUCGAGUAACAAUUGGAGGACAAGUCUGGUGCCAGCACCCGCGGUAAUUCCAGCUCCAAAAGCGUAUAUUAAUGCUGUUGCUGUUAAAGGGUUCGUAG